rnacentral:tRNA from 1 species
UGGCUCAGAGGGUAAAGCGUCUGCCUGCAAGGCAGGAGACCCAGGUUUGAUCCCUGG